rnacentral:snRNA from 1 species
UUGAUUAAUCUUAUUUUUGGUCUCCGCGGCAGAGCCUCUGUGCUUGCGCACGCUCUACCGCACAGUGUCAUCGGGCUUACACUACCUCCGAUCGACGCGAACACCU